CAGCAUCUGAAAGACAAAGAAAAACCACUGCAGUAAUGACAAGAGAGACAACCAUUCAGAGUUGUUCAACAGUAGGACUUGAGCUGAGAAAUGACUACAUGAAACACUACUUAAGACUUGAGCUAAUAAAUGACUUCAUGUAACCUACCACAAUGACCAAGACGUUACUUCAAAAGAGAAGAAAAUUACAUCCUACACUUUUCAUGUAUCAAUCAUGCAUGUUAAUCAGUGGCAGAUUCAGGUAACCCAUUCCAUGCUCUAAUGACACUUGGGAAGAAGGAGCACUAGUAGGAAUUUGCCCUAGAAUAUGGAAUAAGAAAUGUGCCUUUAUCUUUGUGUCUUUCUGAGUAUUUUAUUAGUUUUUUUUUGUAUUUGUCAAUGACGGUUCAAUGUUUUAUGUAUUUGUCAAUUCUGGUUCAAUGUUUGAUGUAUUUGUCAAUUAUGGUUCAAUGUUUUAUGUCUUGUUGCUACUUUACUUUUUAGUCUUUGGUACUGGGGCGUCUCUAAAUUUAGUCAUUUUACUAAUCAAAUGUGAAUAUUUGUUUGUAAUAAAUCUCAUGGCUCUAU